CCUGGUAGCUCAGAUGGUAAAGAAUCUGCCUAUAAUGCAGGAGACCCAGGUUCGAUCCCUGGGUCAGGA
rnacentral:tRNA from 1 species